rnacentral:rRNA from 1 species
UCUGGCGGCAGUAGCGCGGUGGUCCCACCUGACCCAAUGCCGAACUCAGAAGUGAAACGCCGUAGCGCCGAUGGUAGUGUGGGGUCUCCCCAUGUGAGAGUAGGGAACUGCCAGAC